rnacentral:rRNA from 1 species
GACGAACGCUGGCGGCGUGCUUAACACAUGCAAGUCGAACGGUGAACUCCGCUUGCGGGGGGAUCAGUGGCGAACGGGUGAGUAACACGUGGGCAACCUGCCCUCAGCUCUGGGAUAACUCCAAGAAAUUGGGGCUAAUACCGGAUAUGACCGCUGACCGCAUGGUCUGGUGGUGGAAAGAUUAUCGGCUGGGGAUGGGCCCGCGGCCUAUCAGCUUGUUGGUGGGGUAGUGGCCUACCAAGGCGACGACGGGUAGCCGGCCUGAGAGGGUGACCGGCCACACUGGGACUGAGACACGGCCCAGACUCCUACGGGAGGCAGCAGUGGGGAAUAUUGCGCAAUGGGCGAAAGCCUGACGCAGCGACGCCGCGUGGGGGAUGACGGCCUUCGGGUUGUAAACCUCUUUCAGCAGGGACGAAGCGAAAGUGACGGUACCUGCAGAAGAAGCACCGGCCAACUACGUG